UCUUCGGCAAUGGGGGCAACCCUGACCGAGCAACGCCGCGUGAGUGAAGAAGGUUUUCGGAUCGUAAAGCUCUGUUGUAAGAGAAGAACGUGUGUGAGAGUGGAAAGUUCACACAGUGACGGUAACUUACCAGAAAGGGCAGGCUAACUACUUGCCAGCAGCCGCGGUAAUACGUAGGUCCCGAGCGUUGUCCGGAUUUAUUGGGCGUAAAGCGAGCGCAGGCGGUUUAAUAAGUCUGAAGUUAAAGGCAGUGGCUUAACCAUUGUUCGCUUUGGAAACUGUUAGACUUGAGUGCAGAAGGGGAGAGUGGAAUUCCAUGUGUAGCGGUGAAAUGCGUAGAUAUAUGGAGGAACACCGGUGGCGAAAGCGGCUCUCUGGUCUGUAACUGACGCUGAGGCUCGAAAGCGUGGGGAGCAAACAG
rnacentral:rRNA from 1 species